CCAGGGCUUCACCCCCCUCACAGGGAAGAUUUUUUCUUUUUCUCCUUCUCUCUAAAAGACACCAAGCAGAAAUGACUGUGCCCUUCUGCCACCAGAGGACAGGUUGAUCGCUGAAUUCAUCGUGGUUAUUUUGUUAUCACCACACCGACUUUGGGACGAUUUUUUUCUCAUUUUUUAAUGUUUUUUUUUUCCUGAAAUCUCGUCUGUCAGCAGUAGUAGGUGAUCAGCAAUCACCACCUAACAGAAAACAACAUAGUAAAAUGUUCUCAGAUACUGCCAUAGAUGCAGAUAGAAAGAGUAUUUUUCACCUGAAGGAUACUGAGGCACUUGGAAAAGGCAGUGAUGAACAUACUGUACGUGUCUGGGAGUCGUUGCCUACGCUGCUGACACAGAUCCUGCCGGAGGUGACGGGUGUCUGAGCAGGAGCAGUGUCUAUAUUCCAAGGCAAGAAGCCUUAGUAAGAAGCUAAAGAACUUGCUUCUGUGUCAGGAUCUGCAGCCAGAGGUUUGAGUUCAGGUGAAAGAGGAAGGCAGAACUAUGAAGAAGGUGAUUCAUGCUGCAUACCUUGCAGAAGAAGGAGAUCCCUUCUGCUUAUCUCUAUCACUGGAAGGAGCCCGAGUUCAGUGCUACCUGAUGGAAUGGGAAAAACUAGGUCAGCAAAACACUGUUAUGUUGAUGGCCCCUGCUGACAGAGACUAGCAAGAAACAAGUCUUCAUAGAAGAUGAAAUGCAUAUUUCAUUGGAGGAAGUGGAAGUGUUGCUCUGUAUUUCAACUUGCUCAGACCUACAGUGCAACAUUUAACCUCAUGGUAAGCCUGUUCUUCCCUCUGUAAAAGCUUGAAGUAUUCACAGAAAAAGCACUUGUUUUGUCAUGAAAAUGGGAUGAAUAUAUGAAUCCAAAAGAAUACAGUUUAGAAAACUUCCAAACUUACCAGCAUCAUUAUUUGCAGAAUUCAGACAAUGCCGCGUGUAAGAAAAAAUGUGUAAGAGCAGCUGCAUCUGCUUGUCAGCUACAAUUGGUAUAAACAGAGAUUCCUACAUUAUCCUGUUAGACCUCCUACAUCCAAAUAAUGUAUAAAACCAACUGCUGAUGUCAAAACCUGUUAGGAUUUUUUGGUGAAGAGUUAUGCUUCAUCUAAACUAAGACUUUUGCAGGAACCUAACAGGUUUAUAUGGCCAGGGAAUUAAGGGAGGAGAAUGAGCAGAUGUUGCUGGUCUGUAGGGUCUGUGGAUAGAAGGGGAUUGCAUGAUAUCCCUCCUCCAGGAGACAUACAAGUGCUGAUGGAGGUGAGGACAGGUUUCUCCAUGAGACUUUACAGCUCCUCAGGGUAACUACUUUCCAUCUCACGGACACCUCGGGGCAUAGACAGCUUCCAGCACCCUUCCAAAAUGACAAACUGUAUCCAAAGGCCGUGAAAACUAAUCUGUUACCUCAGCCCUUUGAUAGUGUCCAGAGAAGUCUGGGCUCUGUUUACAGAGGCAUAGAGAAAUUUGGCCUUGCAGGCAGAGAUUUAAAUAAACCAAACUCCUACAAUGCCAAAUGAAAGCAAAGGUGGAUAAGGGACCAUCAAGAUUUACUCAACUGGUCAGGAGCAAAACCCAGCCCCCAGGCUGCAGAGCAAUGUUAUGAACUCCAGACAGAGGUACCCCAGGGAGAAGGAUCCUAUAGUCAUCUCCACAGAGUCAUUUAGGUGCCAAAAGUCAUUUGAAGCCCACAGAAGUCAAUAGUUAACGAGAUGCCUGGCCCAGAGGCGGGUGUCUGCAUGUCUUGGAAGGUUUAGCUCUCAGAGUUAAUUCCAAUUUCUUUCCCCUGGGUGCUUUGAAUCAUCUGAGACAAUCUUGGGUGUUUAAGAGAUCCACAUCACCCUGUCAGAAAUCGUCUAGGAUUUAUGGGGACCUGUAGUUUUUUGGAAUGACAGUGAGUGACCACGGGCAUGUCCUGGAGCAUUUCUAAUGAACUCAGAUUUCUACAUAGGCAAGUGAGUUUUUUUAAAAAUGAGUGCCUUUGCUUUGCUCUCCACUCUGCCAUUAAUAAAGUAUAAUGAAUGUGUUUUGUUGCUUUAGCAAGGACUGUGUUUUAAAUAUCACUCUCCUCUCCAUUUUUUUUUUAUGUGUGUGUUUUGUUUUGUUUUUUUUUCUCUCUAAUCCCCUGGAGGUCUGAAAGGUAAAAUAAAGCUUUCCUGUUCAAUUGCUUGGUACAAUAUUUGCUUGCAAACACAGGGCGUGGUUCAGGGUGUGAUUCUUUUCUCUCUGGCCACAAAAUUACUCACGCCAGUAUACAAGCUCCAACUCAGCUGUUCACAUUAUUGUCUACCAAUAUAU